GCACACUGGGGAGAAGAGGCGGAAACUGCCCAGCCCAGAAGCGUCCAGUCCACCACCGGGUCCCCAUCGUGCCCUUUGCUGGUCGUGGCGAAGAAGCCCCCGGAGCCGCAGGGCUGGUGUGAAGUCGGCGGUCGGAAAGCGGGUUUGGGAAGGCGGCGGGUCGGGCCUCAGGUCUACAGACCCGAGGGGCCGAGGCGCGCUCCCGCGGCAGCCCUCUCCGGGCCGGGACCGCGCCCGGAAAGCAGAGUUUCCGCUUGGCUCUGCUGCCACCGCGGAAAGGAGAGGGAGAGAAAUGGGCGGCGAGGUUCAGCGGGCUACCGCCCGGCCGCGAAUUUAAGGAUAGGACCCGGCGGAGGGCGCCAAGCCUCCGACCCCUCCCCGAGGAGCGAGGGCGCGCGCGCCCGAGCGCGGCCCCGCCGGGCGCUGGGUGGGGCGGCCGCGGGCCGGGGCUCCCGCCCCUCCCGGACACGCCCACCCAGUGUCUCGGCGGCGCGAGCCGCAACAGGCAGCGGCGGGCGAGCGCGAGGACCGCGCGCCGCGAGGCCUCGCGCGUGCGUGCAGCUCGCGCUCGCGCGCUCGAGCGGGCGGGCUGAGCAGACGAAUCGAGCCCCGCCGCCGCCGCGGAGAAGCCUGGGCGGUCCUCGCGGCCGUCGCCUCGAUCCCCGUAACCCCGCGCCUCCCGCCCCGGCCGGGCCAUGGCGGAACGCGGAGGGCCGGGCGGUGGUCCCGGAGGCGCCGGGGCGGCAGCGGCCAGCGGGGCUCCGGGUCGCCCAAUCCCCGCCGCAGCCGCCGCCGCAGCAGCAGCCGCCGCCGCAGCAGCAGCAGCCGCCGCCGCAGCAGCCGACGCCCCCAAGCUGGCCCAGGCCACCUCGUCGUCCUCGUCCACCUCGGCGGCGGCCGCCUCGUCCUCGUCCUCGUCCACCUCGGCGGCGGCCGCCUCGUCCUCGUCCUCGUCCACCUCGGCGGCGGCCGCCUCGUCCUCGUCCUCGUCCACCUCGGCGGCGGCCGCCUCGUCCUCGUCCUCGUCCACCUCGGCGGCGGCCGCCUCGUCCUCGUCCUCGU
rnacentral:lncRNA from 1 species